rnacentral:lncRNA from 1 species
CCCUGAGCCACCCACCAAUCGCUUGAAAUGACAUUUUCAUUCUGAGUGUUUCUUGUUUUGUUUUUGUUUAAGAUCCUGGAGCACAAGGAAGGAGUUUUAAUAUAAAACAUCAGAAAAAACACGCUGCAACAUCUCGUGUAAGAGAGAGAGAGAGGGAAAAAAAGGAGACUUACAAUUACAUCUUGAAACACUCAUAUGAUUUGAGCAGCCUUCUUGUUCCUCUCUGAGGAAGCUCACAUUGAAGUUCAGGGAAGGUAUCUUCAUAGCAUCUGCAUGGCCUUUGUAAUCAUUUGAU